CCUACGGGCGGCAGCAGUGAGGAAUAUUGGUCAAUGGACGAGAGUCUGAACCAGCCAAGUAGCGUGAAGGAUGACUGCCCUAUGGGUUGUAAACUUCUUUUAUAUGGGAAUAAAAUGUUCCACGUGUGGGAUUUUGUAUGUCCCAUAUGAAUAAGGAUCGGCUAACUCCGUGCCAGCAGCCGCGGUAAUACGGAGGAUCCGAGCGUUAUCCGGAUUUAUUGGGUUUAAAGGGAGCGUAGGUGGAUUGUUAAGUCAGUUGUGAAAGUUUGCGGCUCAACCAUAAAAUUGCAGUUGAAACUGGCAGUCUUGAGUACAGUAGAGGUGGGCGGAAUUCGUGGUGUAGCGGUGAAAUGCUUAGAUAUCACGAAGAACUCCGAUUGCGAAGGCAGUUCACUGGACUGCAACUGACACUGAGGCUCGAAAGUGUGGGUAUCAAACAGGAUUAGAUACCCCAGUAGUC
rnacentral:rRNA from 1 species